CAGCAGCCACGGGAAUACGGAGGGAGCUAGCGUUGUUCGGAAUCACUGGGCGUAAAGCGCACGUAGGCGGCUAUUCAAGUCAGGGGUGAAAGCCCGGGGCUCAACCCCGGAACUGCCUUUGAAACUAGGUAGCUUGAAUCUUGGAGAGGCGAGUGGAAUUCCGAGUGUAGAGGUGAAAUUCGUAGAUAUUCGGAAGAACACCAGUGGCGAAGGCGACUCGCUGGACAAGUACAGACGCUGAGGUGCGAAAGCGUGGGGAGCAAACAGGAUUAGAUACCCCUGUAGUCCCUGUCUCUUAUAC
rnacentral:rRNA from 1 species